ACUAGAACAUUGAUAACUCCCAU
rnacentral:piRNA from 1 species